AUGUUUUUAAUAUCGUUUGGUUCGGGUAUAAGUGAGAACUGUCUAUUUUAGGGAUAGAUAUGAAUUUGGGUAUAAAUAGGAACUAGACCAAUUUUGCGUUUAGAUAAAAAUUUGGUUGUUUCCGGGAAUAAGAAAAAAAUAACGUUUGGAUGGAUAAUAUAGAAUAAGAAGAUUAGUAGUAAGUUUUAUAUAAAAAAUAAUAAUAUUAUUCUCUUAUUAUAUUUGAAUUUGAAUUUUAAAGUUUUAUAUUUAAAUUUUAAAUUUUAAAAUUUAAAUUUUAAAUUUAAACUUUAAAUUAAAAUUUAAAAUUUAAAUAUCAAUUUUAAAAUUUAAAAAUUAAAAUUUUCAAAUUUAAAAUUUAGAAUUUAGAAUUUAGAAUUUAAAUGUUAAAAUUAAAAUUUAGAAUUAAAAAUUAUAUACUUAAUUUGAGAAUUAAAAAUAAAAAGGGGUGGAAAUUUAAAUUCAAAUUUUAAAUUUUAAAUUUUACAUUUUUAAAUUUUAAAUUAAUAUUAUUAAUUUAAUAUUAAUUAGACUAAUUAAUAAUUUAAAUAUAUUAAUUAGAUUAAUUAAUGAUACAUAAUUAUUAAUUAGAGUUUAAUUAAUCUUAUUUUUUUGUUGUUUCAAGGAUAAGGGUGGAACAACAAUUUUAUGUUUAUACCAGAUUAUACCAGCUUAUUCCAGAUACCCGAAAACUACUAUUUUGGAAUAUGAAAAAUAGCGUUUGGGUUCUGAAAUAUGAAAAAUAGCGUUGGGGUAUAAAGGGAAGAUAAGGGGAUAUCCAUCCAUUAUUCCCAAACCAAACGGGGGCUAAUAUAAUAGGAUAUAAAGUUUGGUCUUUGAACCAAUCACCAAUCUUGUAAAGAGAUAAGAGAAGGUCAAUUUGGACACUUUGAUUGAUUCCUUACAUAUAUCUAAUAGUGAGUGUUUUGGCUCGGCUUUUGAAAAAUAAUUUUGGGCUCAAAAGUGAUUUUUAGCUCAAUACAACAUUUGACGACAACAUUUUCAAAAUCUUAUUCUGAUUUUUAGAAUCAGUUUUUUAAUUUUCAAGGUCCAAAAUCAAAAUAGCUAAAACCUAGCUAUUUCUUGAAAUCUGAUUCUGAUUUUGGACCCACUCCAAACUUCAAAUUUUUAUUUUAAUCUUAGAUUCAAAAUUUAAAUUUACAUAUAAUUUUAAAUUUUUAAAUUCGUAUUUGAAUUUUUAAAUUUCAGAAACCAAUUCUGAGCUUAAAUUUCAUAUGUAAAAUUUAAAAUUUUCGCCAAAUAACUUUAUAAAAUUAUUUUAGAGAAAUCGUUUUUCAUCUAAACUCAGCCCAAUGCUCUCUACAGUUUUUAACCAAAACUAAUUUUUCAGACCAAAAUCACUUUUGUAAAAACCACUUUUCUAAAAUUUAGGCCAAACAGUCAGUAUGUCUCAUUUAUGGGGAAUUCAAAAUAAGAAUAAUUGAAUCAUAUUACUCACCGUCCCUAGAGCAAGUGGCAAAGGGCUUGGUAGUUGAUAUCCGAGACUCAAGUUCGAAUCCUAGUUGAUUCACAUUUCUAGGUAAGUUUAUUUCUAAAUGAAAUAAACAAAGCGGGUAGUGUGCUACCUAUCUCUCAAAAAAUAAUAAUAAUAAUAAUAAUAAUAAUAAUAAUUGAAUCAUAUUAUCAUCUUCCU
rnacentral:lncRNA from 1 species